CCCUUAGAUGUCCUGGGCCGCACGCGCGCUACACUGAUGCAUGCGACGAGUUUAUAACCUUGGCCUGAAAGGUCUGGGUAAUCUUUUGAACGUGCAUCGUGAUAGGGAUAGAUUAUUGCAAUUGUUAAUCUUGAACGAGGAAUUCCUAGUAAACGCGAGUCAUCAGCUCGCAUUGAUUACGUCCCUGCCCUUUGUACACACCGCCCGUCGCACCUACCGAUUGAAUGGUUCGGUGAAGAUCUCGGACUUCGAUAUUUAUUCUUUAUUGAGUUUAUAUUGUGGGAAGUUAUCUAAACCUCAUCAUUUAGAGGAAGGUGAAGUCGUAACA
rnacentral:rRNA from 1 species